AGAACUGGCAACCUUGCUUUUAAAAUUACUACUUGAUGCUUUAAAGCAGAAGCUCACCUAGCAAGGACACCUACCUUACACAAGCUCCACCUACAGGGAAACGUUAUUCCUCUGCAUCUGCACACUUGGCACGCAUUUUCAGCUGCAAUAGUCAGCCCAGUUCUCAGCACAGCUUUACCAUCCAUAGAAAGCCAGUUCAUGGCCGCCAUCUUUUUCUCUCUUCUGAAACACUCUACUGCUGCAAGAAGCAACGAUUGCAAUCACAGAAUCACAAAACUGUAGGGGCUGGAAGGGACCUCUGGAGAUCACUGAGCCCAACCCCUCCCCCCACAAAAAAGGCUCCAUGCAGCAGGCUGUACUGUAGGCAUCCAGCUGGGUUUGGAGUAUCUCCAGAGAAGGACAAUCCACAACCUCCCUGACUAUAUACCCCCCCGCCCAUAACCUCCCCACAGCCACCUAUAGCCACAAAUCCUCCGAUGGCUCACCACAGCCCCAGAACCCCCUUGAGUACACCUCAGCUCCUUAUAGACCCAUACGCCUUUACAGUCCCUGCACAGCCCCGACAGUAGCCCUAUAUCCCCCUAUAGCCUCCCCGCAGCUCCCAGUAGCCACAGGCCCACCUUAGCCCCGGUUCCGGGGGGAUGCAAACGCUCUGGGGGCACCGGGAGCAGCGCUGGAGGGGUUGGGGGGGGCUGGCGGGGCCCCACAGCCCGGAUGCUGGCAGCAGCACUCUGGCGCUGGGGGACCCGAGGCUGUCCCAAACCCACGGCCCAUCCCACAGCCCUCAUCCCAAUCCCACAGCCCACAGCCCACAGCCCAACCCCACGGGAGUUCCACGGGGGAGGGGAGGGCAGUGUGCUUGGGGGGCCGCGCAGGGCUCCUCUCCCUCUCCCGCUCCCGUUCUCCCGCACACCUCCGGCGGAGCUGUCCUCAG
rnacentral:lncRNA from 7 species